CCUUUGAGAAAGCCUCCCCCAUGGCUUGUCACUAGGGUCUCUGCUUUCAAACUCAGAACAACCUCUUAUUGUCUCCUAAGCACAUUUUCCCCCCUCAGAGCCUGUGUGCUCAUUGGACCGUGGAAAGAACCUUCCAGAGUCCAGCGCAUUUCCUGAGACUGCCAGCCUGGAAGGAACUGGGGAAGGAGAUGGGUGCCGGGGGAAAUAACUGAGAUCACACUCAGAAGGAUUCAGCAACUCAGGUGUGGGGAAGUCAGGUGCGGCCUCUGGAGAAGAAUUACACCGUCCAAAGCCAAGCUGAUGACACUGCCGUAGACUUGUGGGAGCUGCAGACCAUGGGAGAAAGAUCCCAAGAGAACAGCUCGUCUGGGGUCAGGAUGCGUGAUCGGGUGCGGCUUCCCAGCACGGAGCCAUAGUCAGGCUGGCAGCCCAGGGGCGUCUGGGGGACCCCACCCCAGCCCCCAAACCACAGAGCCUCUGGUGGCAAUCCAGAGCGGCAGCGAGGUUCUGUUUUCUGUUCUGUUUUUUAAGAGAAGUUUAAACUUGACGGAAAAAUGAUCACAAAGUCCAGAGCUCCACAUACCCACUGACCCUCCCUCUUUAUUUCCCCCUGUUAUCAAUAUCUUGCAUUAAUGUGGUUCAUUUGUUAUAACUGAUGCACUGAUAUUGAAACAUGAUUAACUAAGUCAUAGUUCAUUCACUUUAGGGCUCCCUCUUAGUGUUGGAAAUGGCAAAUGUGUCAUGACCUAGGUCCGCCAUGAGAGAAUCAUGCGGAAUACUUUUAGUGCCCUAAAAAUCCCAUGUUCCACCUAUCCAUCCCUCCUCCUCCACAAGCCAACAGGGAUAUUUAUGGAUCCCAAAUGUACUAGAGAAAUGUAUAUCAUUUUCUUUCUUUUUCCUUGAAAAUAAAUGUUGGUGAUUCAGGUCAUAGGACUGUCAUAAAGCCCAGCAGGCAAAUUCUUAUGAUACAGGUCAAGGAUGCCCAAGGCCUCCCGGGUCCCCUCUACAGUGUGGAGAAUUUAGGCUGCUCGCCGGACCAGCACUGCCUCUCUCCAGGAGCUCAGGGGCAGAGCCCAGCUCAGUGACUGCCCAUGCUCUACCCCUCACAUUACCCAACACCAGACAGGAACGCAAGACAUCCAGACUGUGUAGCAGACAAAUAGUACCCAGACAAGUGAGCAUGCCAGCAAGACAGAGCUUCCCAGCUGAGAGCAGUGGUUCUCAAAAUACUGCCCAGGCACUCCUGGGGGUCCCAGAGACCUUUCCCGGGGUUCGUGGCUUCAAAAUGAUUUCCCUAACAACACUCAGAGCUAUUUGCCUUCUUCAUUCUCAUUGUCUCAAAAGUGUACGGUGUUUUCCAGAGGCUCUGUGAGUUGUGGUGUUGGGACAGAUUGAAGGCAUAAGCAGGUCCAAGAACCCAGCUGUGAUAAAGUCCGUACGAUGUUCACUAAUGCCACUUUUCACUCUCUUUUUGUUUUGGAAAACAUCGUUCAGAUUCACUUUAAAAGUUACUUGCAUUCUAUG